rnacentral:rRNA from 1 species
AACGAACGUUAGCGGCGCGCCUAACACAUGCAAGUCGCACGAGAAAGGGCUUCGGCCCCGUAGCAGUGGCGCACGGGUGAGUAACACGUAGAUAAUCUUCCCUCGAGUGGUGGAUAACUCUCCGAAAGGAGAGCUAAUACAGCAUGAGACCACGGCUUCGUUGAAGCUGCGGCCAAAGCAGGCCUCUACACGUAAGCUUGCGCUUGAGGAUGAGUCUGCGGCCCAUCAGCUAGUUGGUAGGGUAAUGGCCUACCAAGGCUAAGACGGGUAGCUGGUCUGAGAGGAUGAACAGCCACACUGGAACUGAGACACGGUCCAGACUCCUACGGGAGGCAGCAGUGGGGAAUCUUGCGCAAUGGGCGAAAGCCUGACGCAGCGACGCCGCGUGAGCGAUGAA